GGUUUGAUUAUGGCUCAGAUUGAACGCUGGCGGGAUGCUUUACACAUGCAAGUCGAACGGCAGCCUGGACUUCGGUCUGGUGGCGAGUGGCGAACGGGUGAGUAAUGUAUCGGAACGUGCAUAAUGGCAGGGGAUAACUACGCGCGAAAGCGUAGCUAAUACCGCAUACGCCCUUCGGGGAAAGCGGGGGACCUUCGGGCCUCGCACUAUUAGAGCGGCCGAUAUCGGAUUAGCUAGUUGGUGAGAAGUAACGGCUCACAAGGCGACGAUCCGUAGCUGGUUUGAGAGGACGACCAGCCACACUGGGACUGAGACACGGCCCAGACUCCUGGGAGGCAGCAGUGGGAAUUUUGGACAAUGGGGAAACCCCGAGUCAGCCAUCCCGCGUGUGCGAUGAAGGCCUUCGGGUUGUAGCACUUUUGGCAGGAAAGAAACGGCACGGGAUAAUACCCCGUGCAACUGACCAGUACCUGCAGAAUAAGCACCGGCUAACUACGUGCCAGCAGCCGCGGUAAUACGUAAAGUGCAAAGCGAUUAAUCGAAUUUUACUGGGCGUAAAGCGUGCGCGGGCGGUUCGGAAAAGAAAGUGUGAAAUCUGAGCUUAACUUUGGAACUGCAUUUUUAACUGCGAGCUAGAGUGUGUCAGAGGGAGGUGGAAUUCCGCGUGUAGCAGUGAAAUGCGUAGAUAUGCGGAGGGAACACCGAUGGCGAAGGCAGCCUCUGGGAUAACACUGACGCUCAUGCACGAAAGCGUGGGGAACAAACAGGAUUAGAUACCCUGGUAGUCCACGCCCUAAACGAUGUCAGCAACUAGCUGUUGGGGCCUUCGGGCCUUGGUAGCGCAGCUAACGCGUGAAGUUGACCGCCUGGGGAGUACGGUCGCAAGAUUAAGAACUCGAGAAUUGACGGGGACCCGCACAAGCGGUGGAUGAUGUGGAUUAAUUCGAUGCAACAUGAAAAACCUUACCUACCCUUGACAUGUCUGGAAUCCCGAAGAGAUUUGGGAGUGCUCAUAAGAGAACCGGAACUGGGUGCUGCAUGGCUGUCGUCAGCUCGUGUCGUGAGAUGUUGGGUUAAGUCCCGCAACGAGCGCAACCCUUGUCAUUGAUUUUGCUACGAAGGGCACUCUAAUGAGACUGCCGGUGACAAACCGAAGGUGGGGAUGACGUCAAGUCCUCAUGGCCCUUAUGGGUAGGGCUUCACACGUCAUACAAUGGUCGGGACAGAGGGUCGCCAACCCGCGAGGGGGAGCCAAUCCCAGAAACCCGAUCGUAGUCCGGGUCGCAGUCUGCAACUCGACUGCGUGAAGUCCGGAAUCGCUGUAAUCGCGGAUCAGCAUGUCGCGGUGAAUACGUUCCGGGUCUUGUACACACCGCCCGUCACACCAUGGGGUGGGUUUUACCAGAAGUAGUUAGCCUAACCGUAAGGAGGCGAUUACCACGGUAGGAUUCAUGACUGGGGGUGAAGUCGUAACAAGGUAA
rnacentral:rRNA from 1 species